rnacentral:rRNA from 1 species
GUACCAGCUCUCCGAGUGGUGUGGAUGUUUAUUGGGCCUAAAGCAUCCGUAGCUGGCUGGGCAAGUCCCCUGUUAAAUCCACUGAUUUAAUCAUUGGUGUGCGGGGGAUACUGCUCGGCUAGGGGACGGGAGAGGCAGACGGUAUUUCCGGGGUAGGGGUGAAAUCCUAUAAUCCCGGGAAGACCACCAGUGGCGAAGGCUGUCUGCUAGAACGCGCCCGACGGUGAGGGAUGAAAGGUGGGGGAGCGAACCGGAUUAGAUACCCGGGUAGUCCCAGCUGUAAACGAUGCAGGCUAGGUGUUUGGACGGCCACGUGCCGUUCUAGUGCCGCAGGGAAGCCGUUAAGCCUGCCGCCUGGGGAGUACGGCCGCAAGGCUGAA